UCGAACUCAUGGACCGCGAGAUCGUGACCUGGCUGAAGUCGGACGCUUAACCGACUGCGCCACCCAGCCGCCCCAGUUUACAGAAAUAUUUUAAAUGGAAAUGUCUUUCUGAGCUGAGAGUGAGGCUGGUACUUGAGCUGUGCCUUUCCAUGUCAUCUUCAUAAAGAGUUGUUUGCUUCCCACAGCUUCGAUUAAAGUUAGGAUUUAGGUCUCCAAAAAAUGUUUAGACUUCUUCAUAGAAAUUAUGGGGAAUGGAAAUUUUCAUUUUACUUAUUCACCCUCUACCCCUAAUUUUUUUUUAACGUAACUUAGAAUAACGUUAAGUCCAUUUUUUUCUCAUUUAUUGGCCCAUGGUUUUUAAUAGAGGUUAAAGAUUUUCAUGUAGGGUCUAUCUUAUAAUUCCACAGUUGAGGAAAAAUGCUACUUGUCUCCUUUUCAGAGUUUGUUAGAGCUUCUUGAGUAGCUAGAAUAUUUUUAAGUGACUCCUAGUGUUCCUCUUAACACAUGAUAUGGUUUGACUGGAUGACAAGCAAAGAGCAAAAUAAAAAUUCGUCUGUACCAGUUUGGAAUUAAAAUGUGUGUGCGUUAAGAUAUUUUGUUAAAGAAUAGCAGAAAUAGCGGAAGCUUUUUUCUUCUCUGAAUCCUGAUUUGUAAUAAUUGGGGUGAUGAUUGAGCUAUUCAAAACCCAUCUUGGUGACUGGCUUCUUUUUAAAAAUAAAAUAAAACUGGGCUUAAAAUUUUUCUAUUGAUGAAACUUUAAUAAAUGUGGGAGUACAAGGGAGGUUUGCGCUCUCCCUUCCUUUUAAAAAAAUAGGAAUAAAAAAGAAUCUCUAUUUUACAGAUAAGAAUGUCAGCGUUUAGCUUUUAAAAAUACUUAGUUCGGUUUCUUAAGCAAUUUAAUUUCAUAUAUAUCAUCACAUCAACUUGUUACAAAAGGGUAAGACUUUCUUUCCCAUAGUAGUGACAGUAUUAAACUUGACAGUCUUGUUUUACGUUUAAUUUAUUUAUUAAAGUUAAGUGCUUUCAUCCAGUUUUAAUGCUUUUUUUAUUCCCUCUGUGGAUUUUUAAGCAAGGAAUUGCUAAACUUAAGGAAACAUUUUUAAUGCUCAAAUUUUAAUAUUUGAGAUUCUUUCGCUGCUCAAUAUAGGUAGAAGGUAGGAUUUCUAAAGGGAGCAAUGUAACUAAUUGUACCCCCAGUGCAGAUUUGUCACAGAUGCUUAAUGAUUCGUGCCAUUCCAAAAAUGAGAAUAAAAAAUCUUGAGAUCUGAAAGAAUGUGAAGGGAUUUAAAUAUUUAGGAAUGAGCUUUGUUUACGGAUUUACAGAAUUUAUUUACCUGUGGUCUGUGUAGUGUAACAAGUGUGAAAUGGCCAAGGAUAAUCAAUAGUUUCUUAGAACCUUCCUGACAGUGUAAAAACCUACUCUUUGAUACUAUCAUUGGGUGCUCAGGCAUCAAAUAACUAACCCUGGGACCUUUGUAAAAGGUAUAUAGUCACAUGCUAAAUUAGUUAAUACUGAUUGUUAUUUGUUCACCUGUCCUACCAGAUUUAGCAGGACAGAAGUGCAGGUGAGGAAGUGUUAAUGAUCAGAUGGGGAAAAGAAUCUGGAAACACUGUUUAAAAAAAAAAAAGAGGGGAAUAAUGAAGGAAAUGUGGUUUCCCCUCCCUCCUCUAGAUUAUUGCCAAUAUAUAGUUGUAUAUAAUCCUUAUUGUCUCAUGAUUUUCACCAAAAUGAAAUUUUGAAUUAUGAGUGACUAGGCCUGACCAAUCUGAGGUAGAAGAAAAGUUAUUUUUUUUAAACUAAGGCCCUGUAGUUUACUCAAGAUUCAUAAAUAUUCCCAUGAUAUUAGAAGAUGAGAACCUAAGAAAUUCUAUAGCAGGUUCUUAGUAAAAUUUUUUAGCUAUUAUUUAUUGGCUUUUAAUAUAACUAAAUUUUUUUCAUGUUAAAAUUGGUCAUGACAUAUCAGCUAGCCAGUUUAUUGACCACACUUAAAAUUUGUAGAAAAGGCUGUAAAUAUUUCAGGUGAUUUCAUGGUUGUGACUAGUUUAUAUUUCAUUAUUUAUGCAUAAGUAACAAUUCUAAAUUUCUUUAAGCAUCUCCAAAAUUAUUCCAAACUGUAGAGAAUGUAAAGACAAAGUGUUAGUAUAUCUGUGAGCCUUUGCAGAUGGAAAGACCACUUUAACCUCACUUAGAAUGCAGCACACAAGUGUUUUCUUUUUAAGGAAUUACUCUGAUAGCAGUUAUGGGUUAAGGCAGUGAAAGUAUUUCUUUUAUAAGCUUAAGAGUCUAAGAGAAGCAGCCUAUCAUACUCAAGAGGAAGGAGGCAGAACAGCUGUUUAUGUAGACUGAAAUUAAAGAAUUGGAUAAACACAGGUUUCCAAUAAGCCCUAAAGAAUGAAGUUCUUAGUACAAUAAAUAUUAUAAGCUAUUUGAGUAUUUUAAGUACACCACCCCCCCCCACCCCCCACCCCCGCUUUGGGACAUAAAAUUUGCCUAAAUGCACUAGUGUACUUUUAUGGACAUAGAUUUCCAAUUUCAUAAAGUAGUGGGAAAAUAUAUUUUGAGAGAGCUUGUUUUUUAAAGUUUAUACUAUUAUCAUAGAAACUUGAAUUUGUAUAAACUUGGCACUAUUGGUAUGGAAUUUGCAUUGCCAUAAUAUUAGAAUGGGUUACAGCUUAGCAUUUAUAUUGUGAUGUGUUCAUUUUAAUGGGCUUUCAAGUACUAAACAUAUAUGUUGAAAUUUUUUUCUUCCAUCUAUUAUGAUACUAGCUGUAUUAAAAGACUGCAAUUAUUCCUUACCUUAGGAAUUGUUCAUGUUCUGCAACGAUGUGUGCAUAUGUUUAAUAACCUUUUUUUCUUGAUUAAAAGAAUAGUACAUGGUUGUUGUAGUUAUGUACGGUGUGUAAAAUGCUGCUGUAUUUUAACACAGAUUGCUUGAAUUGGAUAUACCGUGGUACAUUCCUAGUAUUGUGGUUAGCUCUCUCGUUUUUAUUUUUGGCUGUGUCCUUCAGCUGCCACCAGAGGUACCUUGAUAAUAAAGAAUAGUUGAAAGAACCGACACCGUUUAAGCAGGUUGUACUAUGAGAACUUUCUGCCUGGCUUCUGGUUUAUAGUAGGUAAGGUAGACUGGAAGCCUGUUUAAGAUUGCUUAUAAAAAUUUGGAUAUGACUUGGUUGAGUCAUUCUGUCCAUUUUUUUUAUUUUAAUGGUUGUUGGAUCCGAAUGCAGGUUACUGAAGAAUUUGCAGAAUUUCUUGACUGGGCAGCUUUAAGAGCCGAUUCAGUGUAAUCAAGUGAAACAGGACAGAUAACAGCCCUUCUCAGUAUUUUAUUUAAGUUUUAUGUAUUUCUCCGGGGGAAAAGUUGAAGUUAUGAUUUUGUAAUAAAGAUAAGUCUCAAAGGUAGAAAAGGAUAAUCUAGCAUUUGUCCACAAAGGUUGUAGGUUGGUUUCUAAUGCACAAUUUAGUGAAAAUGGUACUUCGUACCAGCUUUUGACAAAUAAGUUACUUAAAAAUGGCAAAUAUUAAUUGAUAUGACCAUUUUUCUUUGUGAAGACUGUUAACUAUAUCAGUUCUUAGAAUGAGGAGCCUUUUUUUUGUAUUACAGUAAAAAUUCUGAAGAAUUAGUAGUUUAUUCUUCAAGUUAAGUUCACUGACAGUUACUAAUUUUACCUUUUUAGAUUGUAUCUAAAUUGUUUUCAGAGGUUAAAAUGAUAGUGACAACUUUGUAACCAGUUGUUAACAAGGGAGGUAAGAGGACUGUUUCUUAACCUUGAAUGAUUCCAUGAAGAAAUUUAUGCAGAUUUAAGUUUUCAUGAUAGAAAAACUGAAGGAUAAGCAACAAAAGAGGUAUUAGGUGUUUGUGAAACCUUAGAUAAUUAAAAAGCAAGACUUCUUUUAUUUUUUUUAAUGUUUAUUUAUUUUUGAGAGAGACAAAUGGACAGAAUGCAAAUAGGGGAGAGGUAGAGAGAGAGGGAGACACAGAACCAGGCUCCAGGCUCUGAGCUGUCAACACAGAGCCCGAAGAGGGGCUGGAACUCAUGAGCUGGGAGAUCAUGACCUGGGCCACAGUUGGCCACCCAACCAACUGAGCCACCCAGGUGCCCCAGCAAGACUUCUUUUAAAAUAGCCUAAUGUCUUUUGAAAAAAUACUCUGUCAUGUCUUAAUGUUUUAACAAACCAAAAGGAAAGUUUAGUUUUUUCCAGUAAGUUCUGUGCCAGAACUGAGAUUGAAACUUUAAAUUUUAAGAUGUUACUAAGUUAGCUUGUUUACAUUAAUUUCUAAGAAAUGGCAAUUUUCAGCACUAUUGAAUAAUUUUCAGUUGUUAUAUUUAUUUCUGAGGGAAGACUUGAAAAUCAAACAUACACAUAUUUGGACCAUAAUAUUUUUACCAUGUACUAGAAAGCUUCACAUAAGCAUUUAAGAAAAAACUUAGAUUUUAAUAUAAGACUGAUUUAUACAGUUGUAAAAUUAAACAUUUUACGGUGUCACAGAGUAUUCUGAUAUGUAUGUAAACAUGAACUGUGGUCAUAUAGUGUUUCAUCUACUGCUGUUCAACAGCAUAAAUGAAUAACAUAGGAUCUGUGUUAUAGAAGGGAAAGCAGAGAGGGGAAGAUACUCUUUUCACCUUAAUGAACCAGCCUGUGUAAUGCUUCAAUUACAAGCAAAUUGGCCAUGCUUUUUUUUUUUUUUUUGAAGUACAGAAUAUGCUGCUUUUACAGUUUUCAGUGAAUGAAAAAGCCUAAAUUGCUGUCCCUGCUCCAGUCAUCUGUCCAGGAAUUUAGAGACUAUAGAGAAUUUAGAGAGAUGUGGUGAAAGACUUACAGGUAGCUAAAUGGGAAAGGUUGAUAUUGAAGGAAAAGGUAGCUAUAUGUUUCAGUUUUGUUUGCAUCUGAAAAAAUAAAUAGGCCUGGCAGCAUUUGUACAGUUCUUGAUAAGUAAAUCUUUGGACAUUAAACUCAAAGAGAAAGUUUUAAGGAAGUUGCAUGAUAGUCUUAUGGCAUAAAUGAAAAUGCGUGUGAGGUUGGGGUAAUUAUUUACAAUGAUAAUCAAGGCAUAAAUGGACAGAGAAACCGGACUGUCCCAUCCUACUUUGGUCGUAAUCAUAUAUCUGUCAGAUUAAGAAACAGUCUCUUAUUCAGUUUUAAAUCAUUUGAUUUGGAAAGUUUUGAUUUAUAUCCAACUUUUUCAGAAGCCAGUCAGUUUUCUGAUAUAGGAUAUAGUUACUGAAGGGCAUAUAUGUAUGUGUAACUGCAUAAAACAUGGAAAACUAAUAAAAUUGGUGGGAUCAAAAAAUAAAGACCAUGAUACUAAUUGUAUAAUUUUUUGUACAUUAUGAUACUUCAUGAUAAUACAGAAUAUUAAAAUGGCACAGUUGCAAAAUUACAUGUAUUAGUAAUUUAUAAGCCAAAGGGGGCAUUUUAAGAAUUUCAUGUCCUCUUUUCCCCGUAAGUUUAUCUUUGUGCUUUAUUUCAGAACAUAUGUUUCUGGUUAAGUUGGAGUGUGCAAAGAUAGUGGUCAAACAUAAUUGGGAAAAGAUGUUAAUGUUCGUGAAGAAAUUGAAGAGUUUUUUCCAAGAAUGUGGAAGAUAAAUCAAGAUAAAAGAAGGCUAAUGAAAAGUAUUAAAGAUCAGAAAAUUAAAAUUGAAUGGGGGAAAAAAUUGAACAGAAGAUUGGUCAGAUAGAAGCACUUGAAUAUUUUUUUUAAGGCUAUUUUGAAUUGUUUGAAUUGGGGAAGAAUACACGAAGUAUGAAAAAUGAAAAACUCAAUGAAGAAUGAAGAGAAGUAGAAAGCAAGAGUGAAGUAGAAUUAAAAGAAUCUGGAAGAAUGAAUGGGUCCUAGGUUAAGUAAAUGUAUGGUUUAUGUUCCAGUGUCUGUAUGAUCAAGUUGUAGAUGAAUUUGCAUGAUUACUUAGUUAAUAGAGAAUUGGUGAUCUGGUUCAAGUAGGGAAUUAUUGAGGACAGUUAGCAGUAUUAACAAUGGGUUAUUAAUGAGCUGAAAUUUUUUCUGGAGGGUGUU